rnacentral:rRNA from 1 species
GUGCCAGCAGCCGCGGUAAUACGGAAGGUCCGAGCGUUAUCCGGAUUUAUUGGGUUUAAAGGGAGCGCAGGCGGAAUGUUAAGUCAGCUGUGAAAUCCCGUCGCUCAACGGCGGAACUGCAGUUGAUACUGGCUUUCUUGAGUGCACAUAAGGAUGGUGGAAUUCGUGGUGUAGCGGUGAAAUGCUUAGAUAUCACGAAGAACUCCGAUUGCGAAGGCAGCCAUCUGGGGUGCAACUGACGCUGAGGCUCGAAAGUGCGGGUAUCAAACAGGAUUAGAUACCCUGGUAGUCCGCACAGUAAACGAUGAAUACUCGCUGUCGGCGAUACACUGUCGGCGGCCAAGCGAAAGCAUUAAGUAUUCCACCUGGGGAGUACGCCGGCAACGGUGAAACUCAAAGGAAUUGACGGGGGCCCGCACAAGCGGAGGAACAUGUGGUUUAAUUCGAUGAUACGCGAGGAACCUUACCCGGGCUUGAACUGCACCCGACGGACAGAGAGAUUUGUCUUCCGCAAGGCGGGUGUGGAGGUGCUGCAUGGUUGUCGUCAGCUCGUGCCGUGAGGUGUCGGCUUAAGUGCCAUAACGAGCGCAACCCUUCUCUUCAGUUGCCAUCAGGCAGAGCUGGGCACUCUGGAGACACUGCCAUCGUAAGAUGCGAGGAAGGUGGGGAUGACGUCAAAUCAGCACGGCCCUUACGUCCGGGGCUACACACGUGUUACAAUGGGAGGUACAGAAGGCCGCGACCCGGCGACGGGAAGCCAAUCCCCAAAUCCUCUCUCAGUUCGGACUGGAGUCUGCAACCCGACUCCACGAAGCUGGAUUCGCUAGUAAUCGCGCAUCAGCCAUGGCGCGGUGAAUACGUUCCCGGGCCUUGUACACACCGCCCGU